GAUGAACGCUGGCGGCGUGCCUAAUACAUGCAAGUCGAGCGAACAGACGAGGAGCUUGCUCCUUCGACGUUAGCGGCGGACGGGUGAGUAACACGUAGGUAACCUACCUAUAAGACUGGGAUAACUUCGGGAAACCGGAGCUAAUACCGGAUAAUAUUUCGAACCGCAUGGUUCGAUAGUGAAAGAUGGCUGUGCUAUCACUUAUAGAUGGACCUGCGCCGUAUUAGCGUGUUGGUAAGGUAACGGCUUACCAAGGCAACGAUACGUAGCCGACCUGAGAGAGUGAUCGCCGACACUGGAACUGAGACACGGUCCAGACUCCUACGGGAGGCAGCAGUAGGCAAUCUUCCGCAAAAGGCGAAAGCCUGACGGAGCAGCGCCGCGUGAGUGAUGAAGGUCUUCGGAUCGUAAUACUCUGUUAUUAGGGAAGAACAAACGUGUAAGUAACUGUGCACGUCUUGACGGUACCUAAUCAGAAAGCCACGGCUAACUACGUG
rnacentral:rRNA from 1 species